rnacentral:tRNA from 1 species
GUGGGUUUAGUUUAAAGGUAGAACCACGGUCUCCAAAACCGUUAGUCCUCGUUCAAGUCGGGGAACCCAUGCCA